rnacentral:rRNA from 1 species
AUUGAACGCUGGCGGCGUGCUUAACACAUGCAAGUCGAACGAUGAAGCCGGAGCUUGCUCUGGUGAAUUAGUGGCGAACGGGUGAGUAACACGUGAGUAACCUGCCCUUGACUCUGGGAUAACUGCUAGAAAUGGUAGCUAAUACCGGAUACGACCCUCGGAGGCAUCUCCAGGGGGUGGAAAGAAUUUCGGUCAAGGAUGGACUCGCGGCCUAUCAGCUAGUUGGUGAGGUAACGGCUCACCAAGGCGACGACGGGUAGCCGGCCUGAGAGGGUGACCGGCCACACUGGGACUGAGACACAGCCCAGACUCCUACGGGAGGCAGCAGUGGGGAAUAUUGCACAAUGGGUGCAAGCCUGAUGCAGCAACGCCGCGUGAGGGAUGACGGCCCUCGGGUUGUAAACCUCUUUUAGUAGGGAAGAAGCGAAAGUGACGGUACCUGCAGAAAAAGCACCGGCUAACUAUGUGCCAGCAGCCGCAGUAACAC